rnacentral:rRNA from 1 species
CCUACGGGAGGCAGCAGUGAGGAAUAUUGGUCAAUGGGCGUAAGCCUGAACCAGCCAAGUCGCGUGAGGGAUGAAGGUUCUAUGGAUCGUAAACCUCUUUUGUAAGGGAAUAAAGUGUGGGACGUGUCCUAUUUUGUAUGUACCUUCUGAAUCAGGAUCGGCUAACUCCGUGCCAGCAGCCGCGGUAAUACGGAGGAUCCGAGAGUUAUCCGGAUUUAUUGGGUUUAAAGGGUGCGUAGGCGGCCGUUUAAGUAAGCGGUGAAAGUCUGUGGCUCACCCAUAGAAUUGCCGUUGAAACUGGGGGGCUUGAGUAUGUUUGAGGCAGGCGGAAUGCGUGGUGUAGCGGUGAAAUGCUUAGAUAUCACGCAGAACCCCGAUUGCGAAGGAAGCCUGCCAAGCCAUGACUGACGCUGAUGCACGAAAGCGUGGGGAUCAAACAGGAUGAGAUACCCCAGUAGUC